AGUUCAGCUGGUAGAGAAUCCACCUGCACUUUAGGAGCCUGGCUUCAAUCCCUGGGUUGGGAAGAUCCUCUGGAGAAAGUUGAAGCUCAAGUUGCUAGUACUCCUGGGGAAGGAACAAUGACAACAUCAGAUUAUCUUAAAACCAGAAGGAAAUGAGGGAAGAAACACAGUGAUCCGGAGCUGAAGCGCAGCCACGAGGAGCCAGAAAACGGAGGAGGGUGACUGUUCUGCUGAAGAGUGUACCUUCUAAUUCAGAAAACUUAGUCACCAGACUGAGAACAGAUAACAAGAGUAGGAGGAAGGACUGGGGAGUGUGGGGAAACGUUUCACAAAGCUCUGAAAUCCGCAGCAUGCAGAGCAAGCUCUUGACAAACUCGCAGCUUUCUGGAACCUUCGGAAAAUGAAAAUCCAACUCAUAGGAUAAAGCAAAUAGCCCCACUGGUUAUUUCACAGCACAUAUCUAACUAACACCCAUCAAAGCUCUGAACAGUGGAGAUGGUUCUAAAAGCAUCAUCUACCCCUAGGCAAGAUUAUAUUCAGUCCUCGAAUAAUCUAUAAAAUGUGGCUCCAUUUUGAAAAUCACCAUUUUGUGCCUAAAUGGCAUAAUGGAUAAAAAAUUGGCUCCACUAUUUCACUCAAUCUAAGGUCCCCACUCCAGUACUCUUGCCUGAAAAAUCCCAUGGAUGGUGGAGCCUGGUAGGCUGCAGUCCAUGGGGUCACUAAGAGUUGGACACGAUUGAGCGACUUCACUUUCAACUUUCACUUUCAUGCAUUGGAGAAGGAAAUGGCAACUCACUCCAGUGUUCUUGCCUGGAGAAUCCCAGGGACGGGGGAGCCUGGUGGGCUGCCGUCUAUGGGGUCGCACAGAGUUGGACAAGACUGAAGCAACUUAGCAGCAGCAGCAAAGUCCCUUAGGAGCUUCCUAGAUGUCUCAGUGGUAAAGAAUCCGCCUGCCAAUGCAGGAGAUGCAGGUUGGAUCCCCUGGAGAAGGAAAUGGCAACCCAUUCCAGUAUUCUUGCCAGGAAAAUCUAUAGGACAGAGGAGCCUGGUGGGCUACAGUCCAUGGGUUUGCAAAAGAGCUGGACACAACUUGGAUGAAACAACAACAAGGUCUCUUGGAACUCUAAGCACAAGUUUAAGAAAAAUUACCACUUUAAAAAUGGCUCUACAGGGGACGAGCAAACACAGAAACUGAUGUGGAUGCUCAUGUCACCUGUCAGCACUGGGUUAUAAGCACUCAGAUGAGUCAGUUCUUAU
ensembl:lncRNA